GAUCCUGGCUCAGGACGAACGCUGGCGGCGUGCCUAAUACAUGCAAGUAGAACGCUGAAGGAGGAGCUUGCUCUUCUGGAUGAGUUGCGAACGGGUGAGUAACGCGUAGGUAACCUGCCUGGUAGCGGGGGAUAACUAUUGGAAACGAUAGCUAAUACCGCAUAAUAUUGACUAUUGCAUGAUAGUCAAUUGAAAGGUGCAAAUGCACCACUACCAGAUGGACCUGCGUUG
rnacentral:rRNA from 1 species